rnacentral:rRNA from 1 species
GAUGAACGCUGGCGGCGUGCCUAAUACAUGCAAGUCGAGCGAAUGGAUUAAGAGCUUGCUCUUAUGAAGUUAGCGGCGGACGGGUGAGUAACACGUGGGUAACCUGCCCAUAAGACUGGGAUAACUCCGGGAAACCGGGGCUAAUACCGGAUAACAUUUUGAACCGCAUGGUUCGAAAUUGAAAGGCGGCUUCGGCUGUCACUUAUGGAUGGACCCGCGUCGCAUUAGCUAGUUGGUGAGGUAACGGGCCACCAAUGCAACGAUGCGUAGCCGACCUGAGAGGGUGAUGGCCCACACUGGGACUGAGACACGGCCCAGACUCCUACGGGAGGCAGCGGUAGAGAAUCUUCCGCAAUGGACGAAAGUCUGACGGAGCAACGCCGCGUGAGUGAUGAAGGCUUUCGGGUCGUAAAACUCUGUUGUUAGGGAAGAAAAAGUGCUAGUUGAAUAAGCUGGCACCUUGACGGUACCUAACCAGAAAGCCACGGCUAACUACGUGCCAGCAGCCGCCGUAA